GCUGCCCUUGAACAGGAUGACCAUCACCAGGUCCAGCCGCCACACCUUGUCGGCCUGGCGGAGGCAGUCGAUGCGGCGGAUCUUGCCCUUCUGGUCAGGGUUGGACAGCACGCAGCAGGGGGCCUUCUUCCCCGUGAUGAACUCCCGGGAGGGUCUGGCGUCGGAGCUGCGACGGCUGCCAUGUUGCCUCAUCGCGAGGCACAUCGUUCAGGGUUGCACCUGCUCCGCAGACAAGCCAGUCUGAGGUGCUGAAUCACACAGCGGGAGGACGGAGGCUUGUGACUCCAAAGAAAUCAUAUGAUUCCUCAGUUCAUGUGCUGUUCACAUCACUCACAAGUCUGCCAACGCCGGAGUCCACGGCAACAAAACCUAUCCAGUAUCACCUAGAGACCCGCUCCACUUAGAAUCACACACAGCCAACAGAUGCAGAUGCAAAGAGAUCAGUGGAUCAGUUGAAAAUUAACCUGCAACUAUUCAGAUUAUCAGUUCUUUUUCCAGCCUCUCAAAAAUGAGUAUUUGGUGCUUUGCUUUGUCAUGUAUGACACCAAACUGAAUAUGUUUUGACUGAUGGUCAUACAAAAUAGACAAUUAAAAGAUGUCCCCUUGGGCUCUGGGGAAUUAUAACAGGCCUUUUUCACAGCUUUCUAGCAUUUUACAGGAGUUGCAGCUCUAAAUUAGCAUUUUCACACAUUAUUUGAAUUCAUACAUUUCUCUCCUUAAUCAAAGAAAACCACAAGUCACAGUGCCCAAAACUCAAGAGUUUAGACUCUUAUUGAAGGACAUCUAAAUGUUAAAAUAAUGACCAAAGCUAAACUGCAUAAUGCAAACAAAGGUAGAGGCACUCACUCAUACACAACCCACACACAACCUCCAUUCUCUCCCUAAUAAACAUCCCGGCCUCCAGCCUCACUCCCAACAAUGCAGUGCAGCUUCAUGAACAUCAGCCAGUGAAGGACACCACACCUCCACAUUGAUCCCCGCUUGCAGACUCGAAGACGUUUGAUGCACAGGGCGCUUACAAAAUAUGAAUACUUCAAAAACAGGGAAGACAUCAUCAUCAUCAUCCAGCAAUAAUGUGGGGAAAAAGCUGGCAGUAGACGCAUUUGCCAUUACAAAAAAAGCCGACGUCGGGUUAUACCGGCUGAGGAGAGCCGAAACUGGAGGAAAUGUGACUGAAAAUGUGGUCUGUGCAGGGAAUGAGGGCCACUCUCCUGCAAGGCCCCGAAUGACCCGGAAUACUGCUGCACAUGUGCAAUAAAAUAUGUGCAAAUUUGUUCUAUUAAAGCCUGGUUUCACCCAUUUUGUCACAUUCUUUAAAUGAGAUUUGUAUUAUAAAAACGAAAUAAACCUAAAUAUUAAAA